AAAAUCCACGAGAUUGUUACCCUUAUAUUAGUAAGGUGAUGUAAUAUGGAGCCGUUAAAAUUUCCGAAAAUGUGUAUGGGUUCUAAUACUUUAUUAUUAAUCUAUUUCAUACAUGUCCAUAUGCAUUAGUUUUCAAAUAAUAAUAACAAUAAUAUCACACUUCUUGUUUAGGGCAUAAUACGCUUUGAUAGAAACAAAUAU
rnacentral:lncRNA from 1 species